GCUACCAUGCAGGUCGAGGGGCAGCAUUUUAGUUUGCUUGCAAACUAAAGAUGGCGACCGGCGCACGGGCUGAGCUAACACGCUAUCCAACCUGCCGAUAACUCGGGGAUAGCCUUUCGAAAGAAAGAUUAAUAUCCGAUAGUAUAUUAAAACCGCAUGGUUUUACUAUUAAAGAAUUUCGGUUAUCGAUGGGGAUGCGUUCCAUUAGUUUGUUGGCGGGGUAACGGCCCACCAAGACUACGAUGGAUAGGGGUUCUGAGAGGAAGGUCCCCCACAUUGGAACUGAGACACGGUCCAAACUCAUACGGGAGGCAGCAGUGAGGAAUAUUGGUCAAUGGACGAGAGUCUGAACCAGCCAAGUAGCGUGAAGGAUGACUGCCCUAUGGGUUGUAAACUUCUUUUAUAUGGGAAUAAAGUAUUCCACGUGUGGGAUUUUGUAUGUACCAUAUGAAUAAGGAUCGGCUAACUCCGUGCCAGCAGCCGCGGUAAUACGGAGGAUCCGAGCGUUAUCCGGAUUUAUUGGGUUUAAAGGGAGCGUAGGUGGAUUGUUAAGUNCAGUUGUGAAAGUUUGCGGCUCAACCGUAAAAUUGCAGUUGAAACUGGCAGUCUUGAGUACAGUAGAGGUGGGCGGAAUUCGUGGUGUAGCGGUGAAAUGCUUUAGAUAUCACGAAGAACUCCGAUUGCGAAGGCAGCUCACUAGACUGCAACUGACACUGAUGCUCGAAAGUGUGGGUAUCAAACAGGAUUAGAUACCCUGGUAGUCCACACAGUAAACGAUGAAUACUCGCUGUUUGCGAUAUACAGUAAGCGGCCAAGCGAAAGCAUUAAGUAUUCCACCUGGGGGAGUACGCCGGCAACGGUGAAACUCAAAGGGAAAUUGACGGGGGCCCGCACAAAGCGGAAGGAACAUGUGGGUUUAAUUCCGAUGAUACGCGAGGAACCUUACCCGGGCUUAAAUUGCAUUUGAAUAAUCUGGAAACAGGUUAGCCGCAAGGCAAAUGUGAAGGUGCUGCAUGGUUGUCGUCAGCUCGUGCCGUGAGGUGUCGGCUUAAGUGCCAUAACGAGCGCAACCCUUAUCUUUAGUUACUAACAGGUCAUGCUGAGGACUCUAGAGAGACUGCCGUCGUAAGAUGUGAGGAAGGUGGGGAUGACGUCAAAUCAGCACGGCCCUUACGUCCGGGGCUACACACGUGUUACAAUGGGGGGUACAGAAGGCAGCUACCUGGCGACAGGAUGCUAAUCCCAAAAACCUCUCUCAGUUCGGAUCGAAGUCUGCAACCCGACUUCGUGAAGCUGGAUUCGCUAGUAAUCGCGCAUCAGCCAUGGCGCGGUGAAUACGUUCCCGGGCCUUGUACAAACCGCCCGUCAAGCCAUGAAAGCCGGGGGUACCUGAAGUACGAACCGCAAGGAGCUCCUAGG
rnacentral:rRNA from 1 species